rnacentral:tmRNA from 1 species
GGGGGCGUACCGGUUUCGACGGGAAUGCGGAGAUCGCACCUGGGGCAUGCCGAGGGUUACGUCCUCGUAAAAACGUUAAGCGAUCACAAUCGCCAAUACUGAAUACGCAUUAGCGGCUUAAUCGCACGCUGACGUCCGGCGGGGGACUCUCCCGCGGUGUUUCGCCGGAUGCAAUACAAGGCGGGAUGGUUCCGGCAAGGCCGACGGGGGCCGGGACGAGAUAAAACGCCGGUGGCAUCCGACGCGGGCCCGCCUUCGGGCAUGGCGGAUGCGUCAUUAAAUACGAAGGAUAAGCAUGUAGUCCCGGCGGUCAAUGGUUUUCGGACAGGGGUUCGACUCCCCUCGCCUCCACCA